UAUCUGCAGGACUUAAUUCAUUCAGAUGUUGCAGCUUGCUCGUUACGGAAGUGUAGUGACGAGUGUUGAGCAGUGCUUCAAGUCACCUAUCCACUAAAGGGUGAUUUGUAUAGGGCCACAAAUGAUCUUUCUUCCUUUUAUUAAAACAUGUUUUUGCUCUCUCCAUCUCAUUAUAAGAUACUGUAUGAGUGCAUAGUGCCAUUCCAUUGCAGGGCCUCAACCCAUGUUACACUCUCUCUUCCACAACCCCUCCCCUAACGACUGACUACACCCAGCUGUGCUCAUUUCCGCAGGACGUGGUGUCGACAAACAUCGCAGAGACUUCCCUGACCAUCGACGGCAUGGUGUUUGUUAUUGAUCUCGGAUUUGCCGUCCCUCCUCUCCCCAGCCUAAUCUCCUCCGAUCGUCUGCCUCUGUUGCCUGAAAAUCCCCAGAUAAACAGAGCAGCGCUGCACCUGACAGCGGCAGAGAUAGAAAAGCCAGUUAUUAAUUCUGCUGACAUUUCUCCAGCACGGAGCCAAGUCAUACAUGUGGCUCAAUCAGAGAUGAUAUAUGCACCCGGCGGAUUGUCUGUGUGUGCGCGUUUGUGUGUGUGUGAUAUGGGAAUGUGUGUUAGUGUCUCGUCCUCUGUGUGUGAAACUCAAUUCCCCCUGUAACCUGCACACAAACACUGGUCUAUUUCUCCACCUCGUAACCUUGAUGCUCCCUAUGCCACAUCCCGUUUUCUAAAUGUUAGUGUACCUGUGUUUUGGGUUGCAAAGAAAUUCCCUGGUUUUCCCCAAAAUCCCAGUUGGAGGAUCCCUGGAAUCAGGAGUGAAUAAGCAGAAAAAUCCCUGUUAAACCAGGGAAUUAUUUUGAAGUUCCCAGAUUUCUGCUACCCUCCCUACCUGUGAGAGUGAUCUGAAUCCAGUCUGUGCCGCACCGGUCUGCCUUGCUGUUUCUGCCAGGUGUAUAAUUCUCAUAUCGGAGUGGAGUCCGUCCUGGUGACAGCCAUCAGCAAAGCAUCGGCCCAACACAGAGAAGGCCUACAAGACCGAGAUGCAGCCCUUUUCACUCGGAGAACUGGUUUCCCCACCAAUCACCCACAGCCUUUUUUAAUAACCUGCGCCAGUGACACGGACCCCCCCCCCGUGACAAAUGAACACGUGAAAGACCCAGUCCUCCACUUUAACAGGGACAAAACGUAUCCAGAUAUUUUGAGGUCCAACCUGGAUUCGGUCGUGCUGCAGCUCAAGAAGCUAGGUGCCGACGACUUGGUACA